rnacentral:lncRNA from 1 species
CCCGGGGCGGCGUGGCCUGCCGGGGGAGGGCGGCCGGGCCUGCCCGGCGCGGGGGUGCGGCGCUGUGAGGUGAUGCCCCCACAGGGCGGCUUCCCGCCUGCCGUUGGUGGCCACCGUUCCCCGUUGCGCAGCCGCCCUGGGCAGGCAGCGGGCCAGCGAGACGCGGGGUUCAUGCCUUUUUUUUUUUUUCCUGCUGAGUGAGAAGCCAAGAGAAGGCCCGAAGGGUUUGGGGAGGAGAUUUCCUGCCUGUGUUUGCGUGUGAAUAAUUCAGGUUUUGUCUACUCCGGAAGGCUCUUUGUACAGCUGGAGAGCUGGUGCUUUGCAGCAUCAGAGCCACGACGCAAGGGCCCUGGGACAGAGAUUCUGCUUAGUCCUUUCAUGCUGUGGAGCAGAAGGGAGACCGGCCCCACCGCCAGCGCCCUGUCAAGGGGCUGCUAACAAAUACUGCUGUGCUAGUGGUAAUGAAAAAAUGCAGUUGUGCCAGGAAAAAGAUCGUUGUAAUGGAAUAGCUGAAACAAUGCCAGCAAGGACGUACAGCUUUACCUGUCCCAGAGGAGUUACAUAG